rnacentral:rRNA from 1 species
AACGAACGCUGGCGGCAGGCCUAGCACAUGCAAGUCGAACGCUGUAGCAAUACAGAGUGGCAGACGGGUGAGUAACACGUGGGAAUCUUCCUAUCGGUACGGAAUAGCUCAGGGAAACUUGGGGUAAUACCGCAUACGCCCUUCGGGGGAAAGAUUUAUCGCCGAUAGAUGAGCCCGCGUCUGAUUAGCUAGUUGGUGAGGUAAUGGCUCACCAAGGCGACGAUCAGUAGCUGGUCUGAGAGGAUGACCAGCCACACUGGGACUGAGACACGGCCCAGACUCCUACGGGAGGCAGCAGUGGGGAAUAUUGGACAAUGGGCGCAAGCCUGAUCCAGCCAUGCCGCGUGAGUGACGAAGGUCUUCGGAUUGUAAAGCUCUUUUGGCGGGGACGAUAAUGACGGUACCCGCAGAAUAAGCCCCGGCUAACUUCGUGCCAGCCGCCGCGGUAAGAC